UACGGAGGGGGCUAGCGUUGUUCGGAAUUACUGGGCGUAAAGCGCACGUAGGCGGCUUUGUAAGUUAGAGGUGAAAGCCCGGGGCUCAACUCCGGAAUUGCCUUUAAGACUGCAUCGCUAGAAUUGUGGAGAGGUAAGUGGAAUUCCGAGUGUAGAGGUGAAAUUCGUAGAUAUUCGGAAGAAACAUCGAGUGGCGAAGGGCGACACCCUGGACUCAUACUGAACAC
rnacentral:rRNA from 1 species